rnacentral:lncRNA from 1 species
CCCCUUCACCUUCUCCCCCACCACCUUAUUACUACAAGUCUCCACCACCACCUGCUAAGUCACCUCCUCCUCCAUACUACUACUCCUCCCCUCCGCCACCCGUUAAGUCACCUCCUCCACCUUACUACUAUUCCUCCCCUCCACCACCAGUCAAGUCACCUCCUCCACCUUACUAUUACUCCUCCCCUCCACCACCCGUUAAGUCACCUCCUCCUCCGUACUAUUAUUCUUCCCCUCCACCACCAGUUAAGUCGCCUCCUCCACCUUACUACUACUCCUCUCCUCCACCACCAGUUAAGUCACCUCCCUCACCAUACUAUUACACUUCACCACCACCCCCAACUCCUUACUAUCCUCCUCAUCAUUCCUUGAUCGUUAAGGUUGUUGGAAAAGUCUACUGCUACAGAUGUUAUGACUGGAAAUACCCAAAGAACUCCCACA